AUUGAACGCUGGCGGCAGGCCUAACACAUGCAAGUCGAACGAGUGGCGGACGGGUGAGUAAUGUAUGGGAAACUGCCUGAUGGAGGGGGAUAACUACUGGAAACGGUAGCUAAUACCGCAUACCAUCAGAUGUGCCCAGAUGGGAUUAGCUUGUUGGGGGGGUAACGGCUCACCAAGGCGACGAUCCCUAGCUGGUCUGAGAGGAUGACCAGCAACUCUGUAACUGAGACACGCUCCAGACUCCGACGGGGGGCAGCAGUGGGGAGUAUUGCACAAGGGGCACAAGCCUUAUGCAGCCAUGCGGCGUGUAUGAAGAAGGCCUUCGGGUUGUAAAGUACUUUCAGCGGGGAGGCGUUACCCGCAGAAGAAGCACCGGCUAACUCCGUGCCAGCAGCCGGGGUAAUUC
rnacentral:rRNA from 1 species